UACAGCGGUCUCAAGCGUUGUUCGGAUUCAUUGGGCGUAAAGGGUGCGUAGGUGGCGCGGUAAGUCGGGUGUGAAAUUUCGGAGCUUAACUCCGAAACUGCAUUCGAUACUGCCGUGCUUGAGGACUGGAGAGGAGACUGGAAUUUACGGUGUAGCGGUGAAAUGCGUAAAUAUCGUAAGGAAGACCAGUGGCGAAGGCGGGUCUCUGGACAGUUCCUGACGCUGAGGCACGAAGGUCAGGGGAGCAAACGGG
rnacentral:rRNA from 1 species